AAAAACAUUUCUUAUAAAUUUUUAUAAGUAAAAUCUGCUCCAUGAUUCAUAAAUAGCCGCAGAAUUUUAACUGUGCUAAGGUAGCAUAAUCAUUUACCUUUUAAUUAAAGGUUUGUAUGAACGAUUUUACAAUUAAAUUACUUUUUUAUAAAUAUUUAUCAAAUUUAAAUUAAAAAUAAAAAUGUUUUUAUAAAAAAAAAAGACGAUAAGACCCUAUUGAACUUUACUAACGUUUAGCUGGGGAAGCUAGUUAAAUAUAAUUUUAAUUAAUAAUAUUAUUUAUAUACCUAAUAAAGUUAUUCUAAACAAGUUACCAUAGGGAUAACAGCGUAAUAUAAUUUUAAAGCUCAUAUUAAAAAUUAAGCUUACGACCUCGAUGUUGAAUU
rnacentral:rRNA from 1 species